CCGAGUUUACAACUCAUCAACCCUGUGAACAUACCACUUGUUGCUCGGCGGAUCAGCCGCUCCCGGUACAACGGGACGGCCCCGCCAGAGGACCCCUAACUCUGUUUUCUAUAUGUAAUUUCUGAGUAAAACCAUAAAUAAAUUCA
rnacentral:misc_RNA from 1 species